rnacentral:rRNA from 1 species
AUUGAACGCUGGCGGCAGGCCUAACACAUGCAAGUCGAACGGCAGCACAGAAGAGCUUGCUCUUCGGGUGGCGAGUGGCGGACGGGUGAGUAAUGUCUGUGAAACUGCCCGAUGGAGGGGGAUACCUACUGGAAACGGUAGCUAAUACCGCAUAACGUCGCGAGACCAAAGUGGGGGACCUUCGGGCCUCACACCAUCGGAUGUGCCCAGAUGGGAUUAGCUAGUAGGUGGGGUAACGGCUCACCUAGGCGACGAUCCCUAGCUGGUCUGAGAGGAUGACCAGCCACACUGGAACUGAGACACGGUCCAGACUCCUACGGGAGGCAGCAGUGGGGAAUAUUGCACAAUGGGCGCAAGCCUGAUGCAGCCAUGCCGCGUGUAUGAAGAAGGCCUUCGGGUUGUAAAGUACUUUCAGCGGGGAGGAAGGCGAUGUGGUUAAUAACCGCGUCGAUUGACGUUACCCGCAGAAGAAGCACCGGCUAACUCCGUG